AUGACUAGAGCCAUUAUUUCAUUGAUUCUGUUACUGCACUGGAGCCAAGGCGCUAUGGGUGGAGAUGAUGUUGUUCAAGAGCCUAAAAUUCUGUGGAAACCAAAAGGGAAUUCUGCUAAUAUGAACUGCACACACACUAUGGGUACUUCAUACUUCCAGAUGUACUGGUACCGUCAGCGUCCAGGAGAGACCAUGAGGCUCAUAGUAUUCACUGUUGCUGGUUCAGACCCAGACUUUGGAGAUGUUGAUAAAGAUAAAUUUGAAGCUCAUAAAAGUGUUGCUGAUAGAGGAUCUCUAAUAGUGAAAGAUCUAGAGCCAGAAGACAGUGCCAUAUAUUUCUGUUCAGUGAGUCAACACAGUGUGUCAAAGGCUGGAGAGUGCUGUACAAAAACAUUCUGUACAUGA